CGUGAGGGAUGAAGGUUCUAUGGAUCGUAAACCUCUUUUAUAAGGGAAUAAAGUGUGGGACGUGUCCUAUUUUGUAUGUACCUUAUGAAUAAGGAUCGGCUAACUCCGUGCCAGCAGCCGCGGUAAUACGGAGGAUCCGAGCGUUAUCCGGAUUUAUUGGGUUUAAAGGGUGCGUAGGCGGCCUUUUAAGUCAGCGGUGAAAGUCUGUGGCUCAACCAUAGAAUUGCCGUUGAAACUGGGGGGCUUGAGUAUGUUUGAGGCAGGCGGAAUGCGUGGUGUAGCGGUGAAAUGCAUAGAUAUCACGCAGAACCCCGAUUGCGAAGGCAGCCUGCCAAGCCAUGACUGACGCUGAUGCACGAAAGCGUGGGGAUCAAACAGGAUUAGAUACCCUGGUAGUCCACGCAGUAAACGAUGAUCACUAGCUGUUUGCGAUACACUGUAAGCGGCACAGCGAAAGCGUUAAGUGAUCCACCUGGGGAGUACGCCGGCAACGGUGAAACUCAAAGGAAUUGACGGGGGCCCGCACAAGCGGAGGAACAUGUGGUUUAAUUCGAUGAUACGCGAGGAACCUUACCCGGGCUUAAAUUGCAGAUGAAUUACGGUGAAAGCCGUAAGCCGCAAGGCAUCUGUGAAGGUGCUGCAUGGUUGUCGUCAGCUCGUGCCGUGAGGUGUCGGCUUAAGUGCCAUAACGAGCGCAACCCUUGCCACUAGUUACUAACAGGUAAAGCUGAGGACUCUGGUGGGACUGCCAGCGUAAGCUGCGAGGAAGGCGGGGAUGACGUCAAAUCAGCACGGCCCUUACAUCCGGGGCGACACACGUGUUACAAUGGCGUGGACAAAGGGAAGCCACCUGGCGACAGGGAGCGAAUCCCCAAACCACGUCUCAGUUCGGAUCGGAGUCUGCAACCCGACUCCGUGAAGCUGGAUUCGCUAGUAAUCGCGCAUCAGCCAUGGCGCGGUGAAUACGUUCCCGGGCCUUGUACACACCGCCCGUCAAGCCAUGGGAGCCGGGGGUACCUGAAGUGCGUAACCGCGAGGAGCGCCCUAGGGUAAAACUGGUGACUGGGGCUAAGUCGUAACAAGGUAGCCGUACCGGAAGGUGCGGCUG
rnacentral:rRNA from 1 species